CACCAGGUUGAUUCUGCCUGACGUAGACGCUUUACUCUAAGAUUAACCCAUGCAUGUUAUUGA
rnacentral:rRNA from 1 species